rnacentral:rRNA from 1 species
UGGUGCCAGCAGCCGCGGUAAUUCCAGCUCCAAUAGCGUAUAUUAAAGUUGUUGCAGUUAAAAAGCUCGUAGUUGAAUUUCGGGGUUAGUAGGUUGGUCAUGCCUCUGGUAUGUACUGAUCUCACUGAUUCCUCCCUCUUGACGAACUGUAAUGUCAUUAAUUUGGUGUUGCAGGAAAUCAGGACUGUUACUUUGAAAAAAUUAGAGUGUUUAAAGCAGGCUAAGGCUUGAAUACAUUAGCAUGGAAUAAUGAAAUAGGACGUUUGAUCCUAUUUUGUUGGCUUCUAGGAUUGACGUAAUGAUUAAUAGGGAUAGUUGGGGGCAUUAGUAUUCAAUUGUCAGAGGUGAAAUUCUUGGAUUUAUUGAAGACUAACUACUGCGAAAGCAUUUGCCAAGGAUGUUUUCAUUAAUCAAGAACGAAAGUUAGGGGAUCGAAAACGAUCAGAUACCGUCGUAGUCUUAACCAUAAACUAUGCCGACUA